rnacentral:rRNA from 1 species
AGUUUUCGGACAAUGGAAGUAGAGGAAAGUGGCGGACGGGUGAGUAACGCGUGAGGAACCUGCCUUUCAGAGGGGGACAACAGUUGGAAACGACUGCUAAUACCGCAUGAAGCAUAGGGGUCGCAUGAUCUUUAUGCCAAAGAUUUAUCGCUGAAAGAUGGCCUCGCGUCUGAUUAGCUAGUUGGUGAGGUAACGGCCCACCAAGGCGACGAUCAGUAGCCGGACUGAGAGGUUGACCGGCCACAUUGGGACUGAGAUACGGCCCAGACUCC